rnacentral:lncRNA from 1 species
GUGUGACCAUAUGGCUGGAGGAGGCUGGAAUUGUUUAUUUCCUUUGUUCCACAGGAAGACUAGAGCCAGCUGGAGUUGGUAAUUUUACUUCCUCCAAGUUCGUUAGGCACUGAUGAAACCCCAGCAGUUUAGGUUCUGGUUAAAUAGUUUCUCCUGAGGGCAGACUUUGUUAAGAAGAAUACAAUGCUCUGGCAUAUUUCAAAAUGGCACUUUUCCCUCCCUUGCUGUAAGCAUGGGGGCAUUUUUAAAAAUCUGCUAUUUGCUUUGAUAAACUGGUGGAGCUCUAGCAGGUAAAACUCGCAAAAGUAGGGGGCCCCUCAAUAACUGAAUCCCUCUGAAGUUUCAAACUCUCUGACUUGUCCACAUUGAGCUUCCAGCAAUUUGUUAAUUACAGUUCAGGUUUUUCCAGUUUGGCACUGGUUCCCUUGGAGGUUUCUGCUCAUGGGUUUCUGCUCUGCCAUUGCCAGGGCCAUUGUCCUGAAAACGCACAAAAUGCAGCAUGUCUGAACUGGAAGAACGUUUAGAGCUUUUUCAGUCCAACUUCUCAGAUUGGAAGUGGAACCUCAGACAAGUGUUUGGGCCAAUAAUUCAACGCAGUGUAGCAGAUAAAGGACACGAACCGAGGUUUCCAGUCCUCGGUCUUGUGAUUCCACUAAACUACUCCUAAUUGAAGAAGAGAUGGAGAGAUUAUAAAGGAUUCAUCUGCUGCUUUACAUCGACUCUGACAAUCCAACACUAAAUUGUUUCUCUGUGUAGCAGAUGCUGUUGGCACCUCACCGAGAUUUCUUCAGCACUCACAGUUCCCACGCUCUGUGCUGCUGGCUUCCUCUGGGAAGUGUCUACAACUCUUGGCCUGAGGGCUUUCAGGAGAUGCCUCUAGGAGAGGCUCUCAGCCAAUGAUGGAUAGAGAUGUUGUGCUUUAGAGUGGGACAAUUCUGAGAUGAGUUUGACACCAUCUCCCGGAUGCCCCGGGGGGACUGAGCCCCAGGUGCUUACAGCAGCAACCUGCCCAUCAAUGCAUGCUCUUUGGGCUUCAUUCUCUUUGCUGUCUCACUUCCAUACUCCCCGAGGUAGGCAGAAUAACCCCCAAAGAUGACCCUACCCUAGUCUCCAGGACUUCUGAGUCUGUUAGCUUACAUGGCAAAAGGGACUUCGAAGAUGUGAUUAAGGUUAUGGAACUUGAGACAGGGAUAUUGGAUUAUCUAGGUGGGCCCAAUCUACUGUCAUGGGUCUUGGGAAGCUGAGAAUCUUUUCUGGCUGGUGAGAGAGAUGACGGAAAAAGGGUGAGAGAGAUGCAAUGUUGUUGGCUUUGAUGAUGGAGGAAGGGGGCCAUGAGCCAGGGGAUGCAGGUGGCCUUGAGAGGCUGGAAAAGGCAAGGGCUGCCUACUCCUUCAUCCUAUCUCAGUGAGGUCAACAUUGGAUUUCUGAUCUAAGAACUGUAAAUUAAUAAAUGUGUCUUGUUUUAAGCCAGCAAAUGUGUGAUGUUUUGGCAACAAUAGAAAUUUAAUUCACUCCUCUCUUCAUUUUGGAAUUACCUGUGAAAUAAACCGUUUAUAUUCAAAGC